GGAUGUGAGGGCAAUCUGACUGCAACACCUGUCGCCCCGUUGCCCCAUUGAUCGCCAGGAUGGAUUCGUCUGAUCUGGCUGGUCAGGCAGGUGUCCCCUUCCUCCCCCACUACUCCAGGUGCCUCUGGCCACAAAUGCUCAGUCAAAAAACGACAACCACCCGGCAUAGAGGAGGACCUGUUCCUUGGCCCAGGGGUAUGGGAGUAGCUGCGCUCCUCUGCUAGAAAUCCAAACAAGCUCUCAAGUCAUCUGUUGUAGGUGACUCUGCUUUCCUUUCUGAAAGCCUCACCUUCCCUUUGUCCUUCAGUGCUCAAGGUGGCAAGUG
ensembl:misc_RNA 7SK 7SK RNA